rnacentral:rRNA from 1 species
UUUCUCCGCCGGCGACCGGCGCACGGGUGAGUAACACGUAUGCAACCUGCCCCUGUCAGGGGGACAACCCGCCGAAAGGCGGGCUAAACCCGCGUACAUGCCACCGGGCAUCCCGGAGGCAGGAAGGGCUUCGGCCGGACAGGGAUGGGCAUGCGGCGCAUUAGGCAGUAGGCGGGGUAACGGCCCACCUAACCGACGAUGCGUAGGGGUUCUGAGAGGAAGGUCCCCCACACUGGUACUGAGACACGGACCAGACUCCUACGGGAGGCAGCAG